rnacentral:rRNA from 3 species
UCCGUAGGUGAACCUGCGGAAGGAUCAUUACCGAGUGAGGGCCCUCUGGGUCCAACCUCCCACCCGUGUUUAUUUUACCUUGUUGCUUCGGCGGGCCCGCCUUAACUGGCCGCCGGGGGGCUUACGCCCCCGGGCCCGCGCCCGCCGAAGACACCCUCGAACUCUGUCUGAAGAUUGUAGUCUGAGUGAAAAUAUAAAUUAUUUAAAACUUUCAACAACGGAUCUCUUGGUUCCGGCAUCGAUGAAGAACGCAGCGAAAUGCGAUACGUAAUGUGAAUUGCAAAUUCAGUGAAUCAUCGAGUCUUUGAACGCACAUUGCGCCCCCUGGUAUUCCGGGGGGCAUGCCUGUCCGAGCGUCAUUGCUGCCCUCAAGCACGGCUUGUGUGUUGGGCCCCGUCCUCCGAUCCCGGGGGACGGGCCCGAAAGGCAGCGGCGGCACCGCGUCCGGUCCUCGAGCGUAUGGGGCUUUGUCACCCGCUCUGUAGGCCCGGCCGGCGCUUGCCGAUCAACCCAAAUUUUUAUCCAGGUUGACCUCGGAUCAGGUAG